rnacentral:rRNA from 1 species
GGGACGAACGCUGGCGGCAGGCUUAACACAUGCAAGUCGAACGCGUGUAGCAAUACACGAGUGGCGCACGGGUGAGUAACGCGUGGAUAUCUGCCUUUUGGUUCGGAAUAACCCCGGGAAACUGGGGCUAAUACCGGAUGGUUCCUUCGGGAUAAAGAUUUAUCGCCAAAAGAUGAGUCCGCGUACGAUUAGCUAGUUGGUGAGGUAAUGGCUCACCAAGGCGACGAUCGUUAGCUGGUCUGAGAGGACGAUCAGCCACACUGGGACUGAGACACGGCCCAGACUCCUACGGGAGGCAGCAGUGGGGAAUAUUGGACAAUGGGGGCAACCCUGAUCCAGCCAUGCCGCGUGAGUGAUGAAGGCCUUCGGGUUGUAAAGCUCUUUUGGCGGGACGAUGAUGACGGUACCCGCAGAAUAGCCCGGCUAACUUCGUGCCAGCAGCCGC